rnacentral:rRNA from 1 species
GAUGAACGCUGGCGGCGUGCCUAAUACAUGCAAGUCGAGCGAACAGAUAAGGAUCUUGCUCCUUUGACGUUAGCGGCGGACGGGUGAGUAACACGUGGGUAACCUACCUAUAAGACUUGGAUAACUUCGGGAAACCGGAGCUAAUACCGGAUAACAUUUGGAACCGCAUGGUUCUAAAGUGAAUGAUGGUUUUGCUAUCACUUAUAGAUUGACCCGCGCCGUAUUAGCUAGUUGGUAAGGUAACGGCUUACCAAGGCGACGAUACGUAGCCGACCUGAGAGGGUGAUCGGACAAACUGGAAGUGAGACACGGUCCAGACUCCUACGGGAGGCAGCAGUAGGGAAUCUUCCGCAAUGGGCGAAAGCCUGACGGAGCAACGCCGCGUGAGUGAUGAAGGGUUUCGGAUCGUAAAACUCUGUUAUUAGGGAAGAACAAACGUGUAAGUAACUGUGCACGUCUUGACGGUACCUAAUAAGAAAGCAACGGCUAACUACGUG